rnacentral:rRNA from 1 species
UGGGGGAUAUUGCACAAUGGGCGAAAGCCUGAUGCGGCGACGCCGCGUGGGGGAUGAAGGCUUUCGGGUUGUAAACCUCUUUCGCUAUCGGACAAGGCCCGCUUAGGGUGGGUUGAGGGUAGGUGGAGAAGAAGCGCCGGCUAACUACGUGCCAGCAGCCGCGGUAAUACGUAGGGCGCGAGCGUUGUCCGGAAUUAUUGGGCGUAAAGGGCUUGUAGGCGGCUUGUUGCGCCUGCUGUGAAAACGCGGGGCUUAACUUCGCGCGUGCAGUGGGUACGGGCAGGCUUGAGUGUGGUAGGGGUGACUGGAAUUCCAGGUGUAGCGGUGGAAUGCGCAGAUAUCUGGAGGAACACCGAUGGCGAAGGCAGGUCACUGGGCCAUUACUGACGCUGAGGAGCGAAAGCAUGGGUAGCGAACAGG